AUGUACAUAUCUAACUAUUUAAUUAUUUUCAUUAACAUAGCCACCUUGCCAAGAUGUAUAAAUUAAUAGGGAGAGCAACAGUCUGCAGAGGAAGCAUCUGCAUACUCUGCUUCAUCCACAACAGUACCUGUGUAUAUAAUAAUAUACCUCCGGUUUAACACUGAUUGGUUGUUUUUAUUUUUAAAAAAAAAAAAUAAACAAUAUUUUAUUUUAUUAUUUAUUUUACUUAAAAUUCAAAUAGUAAAUAUAUUUAAUAUUUAUUUUAUACAUUUAAUAGUCAUGUGGAAGACGAGAUUAAUUCAUAUACUAUUGUUGUGCAAGGCCAAACGUCAUUACACAUACAUACACAAACAUCAUGAUGAUGUAUUUAUGAUAUACAAUAUUUCGUGAAAAAAAAUUAUAAUAUAAUUUAGAUUUAUAUGUGCAUUUUUUUUUUUUUUUUUUUUUUUUUGAGCAUCUCAUAAUACAACAAAUUAUUGUUUAUACAUAGAAAAAAAAAAAUAGUAACAUUAAAAAAAAAAAAAAAACCAUUUUGUGUCAUGAGGAAUUUGUUUAAAAAUAAUAAUAAUGAUUAAUGCGUUAUUUACUAAAAUAUUUCAAUAAACAUUGUUUUGAAUACAUAUUACAAUGAUAUAUUUUAACGCCGUAGUAAUAUAUUAUAUAGUAGGUAAAUAAUAAAAAUUAAAUAAAUAAUGUCCAUGUAAUACAUUCGUAAUACGCGUAACGCGGUUUUUACAAUAUUAUUAAGAGGCUUUUUUUAUUAUAAUGAUGGAAAAAUAAUAAUAGUAAUAAUAAUAAUAAUAAAAAUAAUAAUAAAUACAAUACAUAAUAGUAUAAAAAAAAAAAAAAAAAAAAAAAAGGAACUGGGGCUCAUGUCACAAACACAUUCACACAAAUACUUCAGAUAAUUAUAUUAUUAUAUGGCUCAAAGUUUGAUUAUAAUAUUAUGACGUUAGUUAAAUACGUUUGAUGGUGGUGGGGAUGGUAAUGGGAGAGAGGUUUGGGAAUUUCGGAAAAAAAAAAAAAAUAAUAAAAAAAUAAAAAAUAAAAUAAAAACGUAAGCCGAAUAUACGUGUCGAAUGGAAUUUUGAUUUCUCGUGAUCGACGGGGGCUGGCUAAUGGACGGGUACGAUAUUAAAAAAAAAAAAAAAAAAAAUCAAUCAAACUUCGCAGACAUUAAUAUCGAAAUCCUAAAUAAAGGCGACCGUUGAACAAAUGCGUUUAAAAAUAAUAAUGAUAAUAAUAAUAAUAAUAAAUAAUAGGCGAUACGCCGACGAUACACCGGGACGCAUAUGAUAACGAAAAGGAAAUAGCAAAAAAAAAAAAUAUAAUAAUAAUAAAAUAAAAAAAAGUUCGACCAUUCCGUAUAUGGUUUUGCCGAUGUUCCGUAUCACGUGCGUAUUAUCUCUAAACGAUGUAAUGCUCGUAGUGAUGGUAAUGAUGGUGUUCGUGUAUGUGAUGGUGAAUCUUCUUGGCGGAUCGCUGUUGCUGGUGAUGCGGUCUGCCGCCGGCGGCGGCCUGCGUCGCGGACGUCUGCUGCUUGCCGCCGUACAACAGCUGCUGCUGCUGCUGCUGUUGUUGCUGGUGCUGUUGCUGCUGGUGCUGAUAUUGUUGGCGCCUGGCGGCGUUUAGGUAGUGCUGUUGCCGUUGUUGGUGGUAGUGCUGUUGCUGUUGCUGGUGAUGGGGAUGAUAUGACGACGGGAUGUGAGCGACCGGUUCGAAGUCGUACGGGCUCCAUCCCACUUUCGCCGGAGUCCUGACCACCGGUUUCGCCGGCGUCGCAGGCGACGACGGCGGAUUGGCCGAGCC
rnacentral:lncRNA from 1 species